rnacentral:rRNA from 1 species
ACGCUCGACACCUACGGGAGGGCAGCAGUGGGGAAUAUUGCACAAUGGGGGAAACCCUGAUGCAGCGACGCCGCGUGGAGGAAGAAGGUCUUCGGAUUGUAAACUCCUGUUGUUGGGGAAAAAGAGGAUGGUACCCAACAAGGAAGUGACGGCUAACUACGUGCCUGCAGCCGCGGUAAUCUGAGCGGGCUGGCAAGGC